GAUACGCGAGAGCGUGAUUGGAAAGAAGCGGAACGUUGGUCGGACGAGAGCCGUUUCUCGAAUCGGGCCUACUUCAUGCCCGAAAAACAUCCUGCAGAACUCGGCGUCGACCACGUCAGAAAGAACGACACCGGAGUCUACAGGUGUCGCGUGGACUUCAAAAUUGCGCAGACACGAAAUUCCAAAGUCAACCUGACAGUUAUAGAAUAUGCAACAAAAAUAGAGAGAUUUGAAUGAAAACGAACAUUUGAUUAUGGUACACUGAACAUCUAGGGUAAAAAAUUUAUUUUUCGGCUGCAGAACAAAUGGAUACUAAUAAUGAUGAA